rnacentral:rRNA from 1 species
UACGUAGGGUGCGAGCGUUAAUCGGAAUUACUGGGCGUAAAGCGUGCGCAGGCGGUUCGUUAAGUUCGAUGUGAAAGCCCCGGGCUCAACCUGGGAACUGCAUUGGAAACUGGCGAGCUUGAAUGCGGCAGAGGGGGGUGGAAUUCCGCGUGUAGCAGUGAAAUGCGUAGAGAUGCGGAGGAACACCGAUGGCGAAGGCAGCCCCCUGGGCCGACAUUGACGCUCAGGCACGAAAGCGUGGGGAGCGAACAGG